AACGAACGCUGGCGGCAUGCCUAACACAUGCAAGUCGAACGAAGCCUUCGGGCUUAGUGGCGCACGGGUGCGUAACGCGUGGGAAUCUGCCCUUGGGUUCGGAAUAACAGUUAGAAAUGACUGCUAAUACCGAAUGAUGUCCUCGGACCAAAGAUUUAUCGCCCAAGGAUGAGCCCGCGUCGGAUUAGCUAGUUGGUGAGGUAAAGGCUCACCAAGGCGACGAUCCGUAGCUGGUCUGAGAGGAUGAUCAGCCACACUGGGACUGAGACACGGCCCAGACUCCUACGGGAGGCAGCAGUGGGGAAUAUUGGACAAUGGGCGAAAGCCUGAUCCAGCAAUGCCGCGUGAGUGAUGAAGGCCUUAGGGUUGUAAAGCUCUUUUACCCGGGAUGAUAAUGACAGUACCGGGAGAAUAAGCCCGGCUAACUCCGUGCCAGCAGCCGCGGUAAU
rnacentral:rRNA from 1 species